CUGGCUCAGGAUGAACGCUGGCGGCGUGCUUAACACAUGCAAGUCGAACGGAGAUGUUAUGUGAGCGGAGAGUGCUUGCACUUAACAAUCUUUUAACAUCUUAGUGGCGGACGGGUGAGUAACGCGUGGGUAACCUGCCUCAUACAGGGGGAUAACACUUAGAAAUAGGUGCUAAUACCGCAUAAGCGCACAGAGUCGCAUGACUCAGUGUGAAAAACUCCGGUGGUAUGAGAUGGACCCGCGUCUGAUUAGCUAGUUGGUGAGGUAACGGCCCACCAAGGCGACGAUCAGUAGCCGGCCUGAGAGGGUGAACGGCCACAUUGGGACUGAGACACGGCCCAAACUCCUACGGGAGGCAGCAGUGGGGAAUAUUCGUCAAUGGGGGAAACCCUGAACGAGCAAUGCCGCGUGAGUGAUGACGGUCCUCUGGAUUGUAAAACUCUGUUGUUUAGGAAAAAUUGUACAGAUAGGAAAUGAUCUGUGCUUGAUGGUACUAUUCAAGAAAGCCACGGCUAACUACGUGCCAGCAGCCGCGGUAAUACGUAGGUGGCGAGCGUUAUCCGGAUUUAUUGGGCGUAAAGCGUCCGCAGACGGUUUGUUAAGUCUAGAAUCAAAGCCCGGAGCUUAACUUCGGUUCGUUUUAGAAACUGGCAGACUUGAGUAUGGUAGAGGCAAGUGGAAUUUCUAGUGUAGCGGUAGAAUGCGUAGAUAUUAGAAGGAACACCAGUGGCGAAGGCGACUUGCUGGGCCAUUACUGACGUUCAUGGACGAAAGCGUGGGGAGCAAAUAGGAUUAGAUACCCUGGUAGUCCACGCUGUAAACGAUGAUUACUAGGUGUGGGUGGACUGACCCCAUCCGUGCCGGAGUUAACACAAUAAGUAAUCCACCUGGGGAGUACGACCGCAAGGUUGAAACUCAAAGGAAUUGACGGGGGCCCGCACAAGCAGUGGAGUAUGUGGUUUAAUUCGAAGCAACGCGAAGAACCUUACCAGGUCUUGACAUCGAGUGACGUACUUAGAGAUAAGUACUUCCUUCGGGACACGAAGACAGGUGGUGCAUGGUUGUCGUCAGCUCGUGUCGUGAGAUGUUGGGUUAAGUCCCGCAACGAGCGCAACCCUUAUCAUUAGUUGCUACGCAAGAGCACUCUAGCGAGACUGCCGUUGACAAAACGGAGGAAGGUGGGGACGACGUCAAAUCAUCAUGCCCCUUAUAUCUUGGGCUACACACGUACUACAAUGGCGCAAACAAAGGGUCGCAACCUCGCGAGAGGAAGCCAAUCCCAAAAAUGCGUCCCAGUUCGGACUGCAGGCUGCAACUCGCCUGCACGAAGUUGGAAUUGCUAGUAAUCGCAGAUCAGCAUGCUGCGGUGAAUACGUUCCCGGGCCUUGCACUCACCGCCCGUA
rnacentral:rRNA from 1 species